rnacentral:rRNA from 1 species
UAGGGAAUCUUCCGCAAUGGACGAAAGUCUGACGGAGCAACGCCGCGUGAGUGAAGAAGGAUUUCGGUUCGUAAAACUCUGUUGUUAGGGAAGAAAAAAUGUAUAGUAACUAUAUACAAAAGAGACGGUACCUAACCAGAAAGCCACGGCUAAAUACGUGCCAGCAGCCGCGGUAAUACGUAUGGGGCGAGCGUUGUCCGGAAUUAUUGGGCGUAAAGGGUACGUAGGCGGUUUUUUAAGUCAGGUGUCAAAGAGUGGAGCUUAACUCCAUUAAGCACUUGAAACUGAAAGACUUGAGUGAAGGAGAGGAAAGUGGAAUUCCUAGUGUAGCGGUGAAAUGCGUAGAUAUUAGGAGGAAUACCGGUGGCGAAGGCGACUUUCUGGACUUUUACUGACGCUCAGGUACGAAAGCGUGGGGAGCAAACAGG